UGCAGUCGACGAACUCUGGUAUUGAUUGGUGCUUGCAUCAUGAUUUACAUUUGAGUGAGUGGCGAACUGGUGAGUAACACGUGGGAAACCUGCCCAGAAGCGGGGGAUAACACCUGGAAACAGAUGCUAAUACCGCAUAACAACUUGGACCGCAUGGUCCGAGCUUGAAAGAUGGCUUCGGCUAUCACUUUUGGAUGGUCCCGCGGCGUAUUAGCUAGAUGGUGGGGUAACGGCUCACCAUGGCAAUGAUACGUAGCCGACCUGAGAGGGUAAUCGGCCACAUUGGGACUGAGACACGGCCCAAACUCCUACGGGAGGCAGCAGUAGGGAAUCUUCCACAAUGGACGAAAGUCUGAUGGAGCAACGCCGCGUGAGUGAAGAAGGGUUUCGGCUCGUAAAACUCUGUUGUUAAAGAAGAACAUAUCUGAGAGUAACUGUUCAGGUAUUGACGGUAUUUAACCAGAAAGCCACGGCUAACUACGUGCCAGCAGCCGNCGGU
rnacentral:rRNA from 2 species